rnacentral:ncRNA from 2 species
CUCUUAUCCAGAGAGGUGGAGGGACUGGCCCGAUGAAGCCCGGCAACUGGCCUAUUUAUUUAGGUGCUGUGCCAAUUCCUGCAGGCAGUAAUGUCUGGCAGAUAAGAG